GAUGAACGCUGGCGGCGGGCCUAAUACAUGCAAGUCGAGCGGACGGACGAGAAGCUUGCUUCUCUGAUGUUAGCGGCGGACGGGUGAGUAACACGUGGAUAACCUACCUAUAAGACUGGGAUAACUUCGGGAAACCGGAGCUAAUACCGGAUAAUAUUUUGAACCGCAUGGUUCAAAAGUGAAAGACGGUCUUGCUGUCACUUAUAGAUGGAUCCGCGCUGCAUUAGCUAGUUGGUAAGGUAACGGCUUACCAAGGCAACGAUGCAUAGCCGACCUGAGAGGGUGAUCGGCCACACUGGAACUGAGACACGGUCCAGACUCCUACGGGAGGCAGCAGUAGGGAAUCUUACGCAAUGGGCGAAAGCCUGACGGAGCAAAGCCGCGUGAGUGAUGAAGGUCUUCGGAUCGUAAAACUCUGUUAUUAGGGAAGAACAUAUGUGUAAGUAACUGUGAACAUCUUGACGGUACCCAAUCAGAAAGCCACGGCUAACUACGUG
rnacentral:rRNA from 1 species